GGCCUCGUGGCCCAAUGGCAAGGCGUCUGACUACGAUGGUUGUGAAUUCAGAACUCACAACGCCGCUAUCAGGAGAUUCUGGGUUCGACCCCCAGCGAGGUCA